AUGGAGCCGACCUUGAAAUACCACCCUUUAAUGUUUGAUGUUCUAACGUUGACCCGUGAUCCGGGUUGCGGACAGUGUCUGGUGGGUAGUUUGACUGGGGCGGUCUCCUCCUAAAGAGUAACGGAGGAGCACGAAGGUUGGCUAAUCCUGGUCGGACAUCAGGAGGUUAGUGCAAUGGCAUAAGCCAGCUUGACUGCGAGCGUGACGGCGCGAGCAGGUGCGAAAGCAGGUCAUAGUGAUCCGGUGGUUCUGAAUGGAAGGGCCAUCGCUCAACGGAUAAAAGGUACUCCGGGGAUAACAGGCUGAUACCGCCCAAGAGUUCAUAUCGACGGCGGUGUUUGGCACCUCGAUGUCGGCUCAUCACAUCCUGGGGCUGAAGUAGGUCCCAAGGGUAUGGCUGUUCGCCAUUUAAAGUGGUACGCGAGCUGGGUUUAGAACGUCGUGAGACAGUUCGGUCCCUAUCUGCCGUGGGCGCUGGAGAACUGAGGGGGGCUGCUCCUAGUACGAGAGGACCGGAGUGGACGCAUCACUGGUGUUCGGGUUGCCAUGCCAAUGGCACUGCCCGGUAGCUAAAUGCGGAAGAGAUAAGUGCUGAAAGCAUCUAAGCAC
rnacentral:rRNA from 1 species